UACGUAGGGGGCAAGCGUUGUCCGGAAUCAUUGGGCGUAAAGCGCGUGUAGGCGGUCCGGUAAGUCCGCUGUGAAAGUCGAGGGCUCAACCCUCGAAUGCCGGUGGAUACUGUCGGGCUAGAGUACGGAAGAGGCGAGUGGAAUUCCAGGUGUAGCGGUGAAAUGCGUAGAUAUCUGGAGGAACACCGGUGGCGAAGGCGGCGUCCUGGACCAACACUGACACUGAGGAGCGAAAGCCAGGGGAGCAAACGGG
rnacentral:rRNA from 1 species